AGAGUUUGAUCCUGGCUCAGAUUGAACGCUGGCGGCAGGCCUAACACAUGCAAGUCGAGCGGUAACAGAUCCAGCUUGCUGGAUGCUGACGAGCGGCGGACGGGUGAGUAAUGCAUAGGAAUCUGCCCGAUAGUGGGGGAUAACCUGGGGAAACCCAGGCUAAUACCGCAUACGUCCUACGGGAGAAAGGGGGCUUCGGCUCCCGCUAUCGGAUGAGCCUAUGUCGGAUUAGCUAGUUGGUAAGGUAACGGCUCACCAAGGCCACGAUCCGUAGCUGGUCUGAGAGGAUGAUCAGCCACAUCGGGACUGAGACACGGCCCGAACUCCUACGGGAGGCAGCAGUGGGGAAUAUUGGACAAUGGGGGGAACCCUGAUCCAGCCAUGCCGCGUGUGUGAAGAAGGCCCUCGGGUUGUAAAGCACUUUCAGCGAGGAAGAACGCCUAGCGGUUAAUACCCGCUAGGAAAGACAUCACUCGCAGAAGAAGCACCGGCUAACUCCGUGCCAGCAGCCGCGGUAAUACGGAGGGUGCAAGCGUUAAUCGGAAUUACUGGGCGUAAAGCGCGCGUAGGUGGCUUGAUAAGCCGGUUGUGAAAGCCCCGGGCUCAACCUGGGAACGGCAUCCGGAACUGUCAAGCUAGAGUGCAGGAGAGGAAGGUAGAAUUCCCGGUGUAGCGGUGAAAUGCGUAGAGAUCGGGAGGAAUACCAGUGGCGAAGGCGGCCUUCUGGACUGACACUGACACUGAGGUGCGAAAGCGUGGGUAGCAAACAGGAUUAGAUACCCUGGUAGUCCACGCCGUAAACGAUGUCGACCAGCCGUUGGGUGCCUAGCGCACUUUGUGGCGAAGUUAACGCGAUAAGUCGACCGCCUGGGGAGUACGGCCGCAAGGUUAAAACUCAAAUGAAUUGACGGGGGCCCGCACAAGCGGUGGAGCAUGUGGUUUAAUUCGAUGCAACGCGAAGAACCUUACCUACUCUUGACAUCCUGCGAAUUUGGUAGAGAUGCCCUUAGUGCCCUUCGGGAACGCAGAGACAGUGCUGCAUGGCUGUCGUCAGCUCGUGUUGUGAAAUGUUGGUUAAGUCCCGUAACGAGCGCCAACCCUUGUCCC
rnacentral:rRNA from 1 species